UGGGGGAUAUUGCACAAUGGGCGAAAGCCUGAUGCAGCGACGCCGCGUGGGGGAUGAAGGCCUUCGGGUUGUAAACUUCUUUUGCUCUGAACAAGGCAUGCCUUUGGGGUGUGUUGAGUGUAGGGGUUGAUUAGCGCCGGCUAACUACGUGCCAGCAGCCGCGGUAAUACGUAGGGCGCGAGCGUUGUCCGGAAUUAUUGGGCGUAAAGGGCUUGUAGGUGGCUGGUUGCGUCUGUCGUGAAAGCUCAUGGCUUAACUGGGGGUUUGCGGUGGGUACGGGCUGGCGUGAGUGCAGUAGGGGAGGCUGGAAUUCCUGGUGUAGCGGUGGAAUGCGCAGAUAUCAGGAGGAAUACCGGUGGCGAAGGCGGGUCUCUGGGCUGUUACUGACGCUGAGGAGCGAAAGCGUGGGGAGCGAACAGG
rnacentral:rRNA from 1 species